CCUGGUUGAUCCUGCCAGUAGUCAUAUGCUUGUCUCAAAGAUUAAGCCAUGCAUGUCUAAGUAUAAACACUUUUAUACACGUGAAACUGCGAAUGGCUCAUUAAAACAGUUAUAGUUCCUUUGAGAACCACACUACUUGGAUAACCGUAGUAAUUCUAGAGCUAAUACAUGCCGCAACGCCCGACUCACGAAGGGUGGUAUUUAUUGGAUAAAAAACCAUCGUGCUCCUUCCAGAGCGCUUUGAGAUGAUUCACAAUAACUUGUCGGAUCGCAUGGCCUUGUGCUGGCGACUGCUCAUUCAAAUUUCUGCCCUAUCAACUUUCGAUGGUAGAGUAUUGGUCUACCAUGGUGUCGACGGGUAACGGGGAAUUAGGGUUCGAUUCCGGAGAGGGAGCCUGAGAAACGGCUACCACAUCCAAGGAAGGCAGCAGGCGCGCAAAUUACCCAAUCCCGACUCGGGGAGGUAGUGACAAAAAAAUAACAAUAGGGGGCCCUUUGGGCCUUCUAAUUGGAAUGAGAACAAUUUAAAUCCCUUAUCGAGGAUCCAUUGGAGGGCAAGUCUGGUGCCAGCAGCCGCGGUAAUUCCAGCUCCAAUAGCGUAUAUUAAAGUUGUUGCAGUUAAAACGCUCGUAGUCGGACCUCGGAGCGCCCUCACGGGCCGGGCUUCUGCCCUUGUGCCAGUGGGAGUUUGUCUCCUUUUGUCGGGACGCGGUGUGUGGGGCCUUGACUGGUUCCGCGCGUUUAUACCUGCGGGCCGACCGUUUACUGUGAAGAAAGUAAAGUGUUCAAAGCAGGCCAAUGCCUUGAAUAUGUGAGCAUGGAAUAAUAGAAUAGGACUUGGGCUCUAUUUUGUUGGUUUCCAGUGACCAAGUAAUGAUUAAUAGGGAUGGUUGGGGGCAUUCGUAUUUCAUUGUCAGAGGUGAAAUUCUUGGAUUGAUGGAAGACGUACAACUGCGAAAGCAUCUGCCAUGGAUGUUUUCAUUGAUCAAGAACGAAAGUUAGGGGAUCGAAGACGAUCAGAUACCGUCGUAGUCUUAACCAUAAACGAUGCCGACUGGGGAUUGGCGGGGCUUCUAAUUCAUGUCCACGUCAGCACCCUAAGGGAAACCAAAGUCUUUGGGGUGGACCGCCUGGCGGGGGCGGUCGCGGGGGGCAGCAGCCCCAACUGGCUGUCCAUCUCCAAGGGCCUCCCGGCGGGGACGGAGAAGGGGACGGGCUUUGUCAUUGGGGGGCACUGGACCAGCACACAGCGCAACCCGCGGGCGCCGGUGCGGGUCGGCACCAAGAUCCCAGGCGGGGUGGUGUUCAACUGAGGAGGCGGCCACACUGGUCACGGUGGUGCGGUGAAGGGGGACUGGUGGCGCAGUUGGGUGGCGAGGGGGGGGUGGUGGAUGGGGGGCGCGGGGGGGGCGGAGCGGAUGUUGAGCUGUGCUGGCGCGCGCGCGCCGCGCUGAUUUGUAGCGUAGCCGCUCUCCGUCGCACGCGUGCGAUGGGGUCAGUCGGGGGCGGGGACGUGGUGAGCGGGGCGAGGCCCCUGUCCUUCCCACCCGCGUGGGUGGGUCGUGGGGCGUAGGCGGGGGUCGCCCCGCCCUGGGUCGGGAGGGGCGCGGCGGCGGCCAUGUGGGCACCAGGCCACCGCCGGUUUGUGGUGAUCGGGUGAUUC
rnacentral:rRNA from 1 species